UUAAAAAAAAAUACAUUCAAACUAGAAAAAAAAUUACAUUCAAACUAGAAAAAUAUAAAACAAACUACUCGUCGUCCGAAUCAACUUCAAGGUGAGGCAGAUCUAAACUUCCGAGAUGCUCAACGAGAUCGUGUUUUAGUCUCCAAUGCGUGUCUUCGUCAAUGAGCUCCGUAUAAGCUGUAUCAUCGAAGACGGGUUCGACUGGAGGAUCUUGAAUAUGUACCGGUGCUAUCGCCCUUCCGUCGUCUUUUAUAAUCAUGUUGUGUAAAAUAAGGCACGUAUACACGAUGGACCUUAUCUUUCUCACCGUUUUCGAACGCAUUGGACGAUUUACACAUUGAUGUCGUUUUGUGAACCCGCCGGGCCACAAAAAGCAUGCCAAAUCCACAAAUCUUGAGACGCCACCGCUUCUAACAUAACCGUCGGGUAUUGAU
rnacentral:lncRNA from 1 species